rnacentral:misc_RNA from 1 species
GAUUCGUGGCCAUCAUCAUAG